CCUACGAGUGGCAGCAGUGAGGAAUAUUGGUCAAUGGGCGGAAGCCUGAACCAGCCAAGUCGCGUGAGGGACUAAGGCCCUACGGGUCGUAAACCUCUUUUGCCGGGGAUCAGUGCCCAGCUCGCGAGCUGGGAGGGAGCGUACCCGGAGAAAAAGCAUCGGCUAACUCCUGGCCUGCAGCCGCGGUAAUACGGGGGAUGCGGGCGUUAUCGGGGUUGUUUGGGUUUAAAGGUUGCGUAGGGGGGCCGUCCGGCCGGCGGUAAAAGUGCGGGGCUCAACCCCGCCGAGCCGUCGGAACCGGGGGCCUUGAGUACCGGAGAAGUACGCGGAAUGCGUGGUGUAGCGGUGAAAUGCAUAGAUAUCACGCAGAACCCCGAUUGCGAAGGCAGCGUACCGGCCGGUCACUGACGCUGAGGCACGAAAGCGCGGGUAUCGAACAGGAUUAGAUACCCUAGUAGUC
rnacentral:rRNA from 1 species